GAUGAACGCUAGCUACAGGCUUAACACAUGCAAGUCGAGGGGCAGCAUGAACUUAGCUUGCUAAGUUUUAUGGCGACCGGCGCACGGGUGAGUAACACGUAUCCAACCUGCCGAUGACUCGGGGAUAGCCUUUCGAAAGAAAGAUUAAUACCCGAUGGCAUAGUUCUUCCGCAUGGUAGAACUAUUAAAGAAUUUCGGUCAUCGAUGGGGAUGCGUUCCAUUAGGUUGUUGGCGGGGUAACGGCCCACCAAGCCUUCGAUGGAUAGGGGUUCUGAGAGGAAGGUCCCCCACAUUGGAACUGAGACACGGUCCAAACUCCUACGGGAGGCAGCAGUGAGGAAUAUUGGUCAAUGGACGAGAGUCUGAACCAGCCAAGUAGCGUGAAGGAUGACUGCCCUAUGGGUUGUAAACUUCUUUUAUACGGGAAUAAAGUGAGGCACGUGUGCCUUUUUGUAUGUACCGUAUGAAUAAGGAUCGGCUAACUCCGUG
rnacentral:rRNA from 1 species